GGUGAACGGGUGAGUAAUGUAUCGGAACGUGCCCAGUCGUGGGGGAUAACGCAGCGAAAGCUGUGCUAAUACCGCAUACGACCUGAGGGUGAAAGCGGGGGACCAGCAAUGGCCUCGCGCGAUUGGAGCGGCCGAUGUCGGAUUAGGUAGUUGGUGGGGUAAAGGCCUACCAAGCCUGCGAUCCGUAGCUGGUCUGAGAGGACGACCAGCCACACUGGGACUGAGACACGGCCCAGACUCCUACGGGAGGCAGCAGUGGGGAAUUUUGGACAAUGGGGGCAACCCUGAUCCAGCCAUGCCGCGUGCGGGAAGAAGGCCUUCGGGUUGUAAACCGCUUUUGUCAGGGAAGAAAUGUCCUGGGUUAAUACCCUGGGGGGAUGACGGUACCUGAAGAAUAAGCACCGGCUAACUACGUGCCAGCAGCCGCGGUAAUACGUAGGGUGCGAGCGUUAAUCGGAAUUACUGGGCGUAAAGCGUGCGCAGGCGGUUAUACAAGACAGAUGUGAAAUCCCCGGGCUCAACCUGGGAACUGCAUUUGUGACUGUAUAGCUGGAGUACGGUAGAGGGGAGUGGAAUUCCGCGUGUAGCAGUGAAAUGCGUAGAUAUGCGGAGGAACACCGAUGGCGAAGGCAGCUCCCUGGACCUGUACUGACGCUCAUGCACGAAAGCGUGGGGAGCAAACAGGAUU
rnacentral:rRNA from 1 species